rnacentral:rRNA from 1 species
GACGAACGCUGGCGGUGUGCCUCACACAUGCAAGUCGAACGGGGUAGCAAUACCCAGUGGCGGACGGGUGAGUAACACGUGGGAAUCUGCCUUCAGAUGGGGGAUAACGAGCCGAAAGGCUCGCUAAUACCGCAUGUGUGUACAUCCCGACAGGGGUGUACAUGAAAGGAGCAAUCCGUCUGAAGAUGAGCCCGCGUCCGAUUAGCUAGUUGGUAGGGUAAAAGCCUACCAAGGCUCCGAUCGGUAGCUGGUCUGAGAGGAUGAUCAGCCACAAUGGAACUGAGACACGGUCCAUACUCCUACGGGAGGCAGCAGUGGGGAAUUUUACGCAAUGGGCGAAAGCCUGACGUAGCGACACCGCGUGAGUGAAGAAGCCCUUUGGGGUGUAAAACUCUGUCAGCAGGAAAGAACACAAUGACGGUACCUGCAGAGGAAGCAUCGGCUAACUACGUGCCAGCCGCCGCGGUAAAAC